AUGAUAAAUCAUAAAUGUAUUUAGACAUAUUUUCAGUCUUGAGAGUUUAACUGGAAGGUUCAGAUGUAGGAACAAGGAUGCAUAGUAUAUAUAUAAUCAUUCUUUGCUCGUUCAACUGAGCAUUGUGAGAAUCCAAACUCUCCUUGGUCUUUAUAAAUAGCAGCCUCGUUGACAAAAUUCCGUCAAUGACGUAGUGCACGCGCGUAGUUGAGUAGGUGAUGCUUUUUAGUGAAUGAGUCCCCCUCCCUCUCCAGCUUACUAGUACUAUCAGAUCUCUAUAAAAAGCGCACGGUAGAUGGAAAAGCGCUCGAGAGCUGCUUGUUUCUACCAGGAAAAAGAAGACAAGACGAGCGUGACGAGUGCAGACAGUGGCCCAAAUGGAGACACUAAGAACUUCUCAUUACGCAGUACAUCGAGCCAUCCUCCUGGAGCGCCAGCUUACUAGAAAACGGACAGCCGCCUGAAAAUCGACUGCAAUUUUGGCGAGGACUCCUGUGUUUCAAGUAGCUGUUCUGUCUCUCCAUGUGAACUGACUUCACCUCGGUCUUGCCCAGCUUGGCUAUUAUGUGAGUCUUCACCAGUAUGCCAGCACUUCAUGACCUUGGCUCUAGACUGCUUACUGCUUAUGGAGUCCAACAGUACAGUAACAGUCUACAGUCAUGGCUACUGAAGUCUGGCUCCAGCAUCACAAACACACAACACUAAUACAGAAGGGUUUUAGCCUUUCAUCUGUAUAACUUCGGUUGUGAUUGAAAAGUGAACCCUGUUAAAAUGUGCAUGCACGCAUUCAUCAGAAAUACUCGGCUGUGACGGCAAACAGUUGUGUAUGUCUGAGCCUGUAUUGGGGGAGUCCUGUGCUAUGGAGGCAUGGCUUUUCAUCUAACAAGCCAAUAGAACUGCACUAUUUCCAGUUACCAUGCCAACACCCCCUCAUCCCUACCUCUGCUGUCUCCAUGGUGACCGUGGCUUUAGAUUGUUACUGUAGCGAUGGCACAUGGUAACAGUCUACAGCCAUGGUCGCCAAGGGGCAGGUGUUAUAGCAACAACUGAAAGCAUCAGAAAUGAUUGCGACUAGCUGGCUGAAUUAUGUUUCACGCACGUGACCAGAAACUGUAGCACAGUGAGGAUUUUCUAAGAAGCUGAAUGAUAUGAUUUCAAAAAGUAGGUCAAAGUCUGACUUUAUAUAUUUGUAUUUUUACCUCCUUCUGAAACUCUGUUAAAAGACGUCUCUGUCAACAUUAAAGUAAACAUGUUUUUCUCAGACUUUGCCUGCUGUAAAACAUCAAAGCUACAUUGAGUUCUUCAUUUGAGACCAAAAACUUUAUUCUUUGCACAACAUACAUUAAAUACUUCAAUACAAGCAGAUUCGCUUUCCAAUGUAAUUGCUUCAUGUACUGUACCAGAAUAUACAAUUGUUUCUCUAUAAUGAUUUCCUGAUGAUUCAGUUUGUUCCCUUGAUGGCACAGUGAUUCAUUCUAAUGUGGAGUGCCAACGAUUGCUCCUUUUUUUCCAGACAAUUUCCUGUGGAACAAGGAGAGGCAGUUUCAAUUAGGAUCGGGUGACAGAAUAUUGUUUAAUGUACUGUAUAAUUGAUGAAAGUCAUACAUUUUCUUUUUACCGGUUGCAGUGCCAUCUGGGACAGCUGGGCAGGUGUUUUAGUGAAUUCAGUGAGUAAUUAAUACAUAUCAAACUGGCAGAGAUGUCUUGUCUAAAUGUAUGUUAAUCUGCAACAAUUUUUAGUAGUGUGCAAUAGAACAUGGCCCAAAUGCUAAAAAAUAUCCAAUUUUAGCAGUCACACAUCGCCCUCUUGAGGAGAGAGUUUAUAGUUGCGGAAAACAAUCUGUGGGCCAGUGUUGUGCUUGGUACCAUUAAAUGUAAUAGAAAGAAAUUAUAUUCAGAAAUGUUUCUAUGAAAAUUUAAGUAAAUAAAAUCUCAACAUCCAAAGACAAUGUCCCCUGUAUUGGUUUUAAUAUUUUAAAAUUAUGCCAGUUUUGAUUAAUUAAACAUUUGUACCCAGGGUUAUCUACAUUUUAAAGCAUUUUUGGGGUCCAAGUUAAAAAAAAAAGAAAGAAAAAAAAAGAUAGCAUCUAAUCCCUGUUGAUCAUUAAAAUUUUUUUUUUCAUUUAGAAGGCAACAAUUGAUUUUAAAAAUAUUUUCUCUGUUCUUCUGCAUUUUUAUUAUUUUCUAGCUUCUGUGUUACUUAGCAGUAAAAUCAAUAGUUUUGCCCAGGGUUAACUGUUUUUUUUUUUUUUCCUGAGUUAAUAAAAAAAGUUUGAUCUGGAAA